ensembl:misc_RNA Metazoa_SRP Metazoan signal recognition particle RNA
GCUGGGUGUGAUGGCUCAUGCCUGUAAUCCCAGCACUUUGGGAGGCCGAGGCGGGUGGAUCGCCUGAGGUCAGGAGUUCAAGACCAGCCUGUCCAACAUGGUGAAACCCCGUCUCUA